CCUACGGGGGGCAGCAGUGAGGAAUAUUGGACAAUGGACGAGAGUCUGAACCAGCCAAGCAGCGUGAAGGAUGACUGCCCUAUGGGUGGUAAACUUCUUUUAUAAAGGAAUAAAACGAGGCACGUGUGCCUUUUUGCAUGUACUUUACGAAUAAGGAUAGGAUAACUCCGUGCCAGCAGCCGCGGUAAUACGGAGGAUCCGAGCGUUAUCCGGAUUUAUUGGGUUUAAAGGGAGCGUAGAUGGGUUGUUAAGUCAGGUGUGAAAGUUUGCGGCUCAACCGUAAAAUUGCAAUUGAUACUGGCAGUCUUGAGUACAGUUGAGGGAGGCGGAAUUCGUGGUGUAGCGGUGAAAUGCUUAGAUAUCACGAAGAACCCCGAUUGCGAAGGCAGCUUACUAAACUGUGACUGACAUUGAUGCUCGAAAGUGUGGGUAUCAAACAGGAUUAGAUACCCCUGUAGUC
rnacentral:rRNA from 1 species